rnacentral:rRNA from 1 species
UAAGGAAUAUUGGACAAUGCCCGCAAGGGUGAUCCAGCAAUGCCGCGUGCAGGAUGAAGGCCUUCGGGUUGUAAACUGCUUUUGUACGGAACGAAAAGCUUCUGGUUAAUACCUGGGAGUCAUGACGGUACCGUAAGAAUAAGCACCGGCUAACUACGUGCCAGCAGCCGCGGUAAUACGUAGGGUGCGAGCGUUAAUCGGAAUUACUGGGCGUAAAGCGUGCGCGGGCGGUUAUGUAAGACAGAGGUGAAAUCCCCGGGCUCAACCUGGGAACUGCCUUUGUGACUGCAUGGCUAGAGUGCGGCAGAGGGGGAUGGAAUUCCGCGUGUAGCAGUGAAAUGCGUAGAUAUGCGGAGGAACACCGAUGGCGAAGGCAAUCCCCUGGGCCUGCACUGACGCUCAUGCACGAAAGCGUGGGGAGCAAACA